rnacentral:rRNA from 1 species
UACAGAGGGGGCAAGCGUUAUUCGGAAUUAUUGGGCGUAAAGGGCGCGUAGGCGGCUGUACAAGUCAAAGGUGAAAUCCCUCGGCUCAACUGAGGAACUGCCUUUGAAACUGUACGGCUUGAGGCCGGGAGGGGGUAGCGGAAUUCCCAGUGUAGCGGUGAAAUGCGUAGAUAUUGGGAGGAACACCAGUGGCGAAGGCGGCUACCUGGACCGGUUCUGACGCUGAUGCGCGAAAGCUAGGGGAGCAAACAGG